rnacentral:rRNA from 1 species
AUUGAACGCUGGCGGCAUGCCUUACACAUGCAAGUCGAACCGCAGAACGGGAGCAAUCCUGGUGGCGAGUGGCGAACGGGUGAGUAAUGUAUCGGAACGUGCCCAGUCGUGGGGGAUAACGUAGCGAAAGCUACGCUAAUACCGCAUACGAUCUAUGGAUGAAAGCAGGGGAUCGCAAGACCUCGCGCGAUUGGAACGGCCGAUAUCAGAUUAGGUAGUUGGUGGGGUAAAGGCCCACCAAGCCUGCGAUCGGUAGCUGGUCUGAGUGGACGACCAGCCAAACUGGAGCCAAGAAACGGUACCGACGCCUACGGGAGGGAGCGGUGUUGAAUUUUGGACCAGGGGAGCAAGCCCGCUCCAGCAAGGCUUCGUGCAGGAUGAAGGCCUUCGGGUUGUAAACUGCUUUUGUCCGGAACAAAACGGCUUUUUCUAAUACAGAGCGGUAAUGACUGUACCGUAAGAAUACGGACCGGCUACGUACGUGCCAGCCGCCGCGGUAA